AAGUCGUAACAAGGUCUCCGUUGGUGAACCAGCGGAGGGAUCAUUACUGAGCUUACAACUCCCAAACCCGUGUGAACAUACCUAUCGUUGCUUCGGCGGGACUGCCCCGGCGCCUCGCGCGCCGGACACAGGCGCCCGCCGGAGACCACAAACUCUUGCAUUUAUACGAAUUCUCUGAGGAACUAUACAAAUGAAUCAAAACUUUCAACAACGGAUCUCUUGGUUCUG
rnacentral:misc_RNA from 1 species